AACGAACGCUGGCGGCAGGCCUAACACAUGCAAGUCGAACGAACCUUCGGGUGAGUGGCGCACGGGUGAGUAACGCGUGGAAAUAUACACUUAGGUAAGGAAUAACUGCUGGAAACGGUAGCUAAUACCUUAUAAUGACUCCGGUCCAAAGAUUUAUCGCCUAAGAAUUAGUCCGCGUAAGAUUAGAUAGUUGGUGAGGUAAUGGCUCACCAAGUCGACGAUCUUUAGGGGGUCUGAGAGGAUGAUCCCCCACACUGGUACUGAGACACGGACCAGACUCCUACGGGAGGCAGCAGUGAGGAAUAUUGGACAAUGGGGCAACCCUGAUCCAGCCAUGCCGCGUGAGUGAAGAAGGCCCUAGGGUUGUAAAGCUCUUUCAAGUGCGAAGAUAAUGACGGUAACACUAGAAGAAGCUCCGGCUAAAUUUCGUGCCAGCCGCCGCGGUAA
rnacentral:rRNA from 1 species